rnacentral:pre_miRNA from 1 species
UAUAAGGGAUUUUGAGUUUUGCUUGUAAUAUUUGACCAUUCGUCUUAUUCAAAAAAUUUUGAAAUUAUUAAUUAUUUUAUUUGUGACUUACUUUAUUAUCUACAGUAUUUUAAGCACAACUUUUUGUUUUUAAUAUUUGCAAAAAAAAUUUGAAUAAGACGAGUGGUCAAACGUUGCAAGCAAAAACUGAAAAUCCCUUAUA